UACAGAGGGGGCCAGCGUUAUUCGGAAUUAUUGGGCGUAAAGGGCGCGUAGGCGGCCUGAUAAGUCGGGGGUGAAAGCCUGUGGCUCAACCACAGAAUUGCCUUCGAUACUGUUAGGCUUGAGACCGGAAGAGGUAAGUGGAACUGCGAGUGUAGAGGUGAAAUUCGUAGAUAUUCGCAAGAACACCAGUGGCGAAGGCGGCUUACUGGUCCGGUUCUGACGCUGAUGCGCGAAAGCGUGGGGAGCAAACGGG
rnacentral:rRNA from 1 species